CUUGUUCAACAGCCUACGUGGCUAUCACUUGAGAGUAUGAGGAGUUCGGACAGCAAUACAGAAAGAAUAGAAGAGCUUGAGAUGUUGCUGGAAGCAUAUACUUUGUUGUUAUAGACAGCACUCUUAACAAGCUCACAUCGCUGAAGAGAUACAUUGAUGACACUAAAGAUUUCAUCAACAUUCAGCUGGAUAAUGUUUGAAACAAGCUUAUUCAAUUUGAGCUACUUCUCGCAACUGUGCAACAUUUGUGGUGGCCAUUUUUGGGGUGGCUGCUGGAACCUUGGGCAUGAACUUCCCCACAUCAAUGUUUGACAGUCCUGCGGCUUUUAAGUGGGUCCUCAUAAUUAACGGUAUAACAGGCAUGGCCAUAUUUUGUGUGCUUGUAUUGUUUUUCAAGCAUAGAAGGCUCAUGCAAUUUGUAGGUGCUUUAAGACCCUUUAUUCAAAUUUUAAUUGAAAAGAAACAAAUUAUAAAAGAGGAAGAAUUUUGUUUCCGUCUUUUUUUUUUUUUUUGUGCUUUAUAUAUUUAAUGAGAAAUAGGAAAUAAAAGCUAGUCCUCUUGAAGGUAUUCCUUUUAACUUUGUGAAUGUUAGUCUAUAAUGGUUCAAAAGCAAGGACGUAUCGUCAUCUUCUAUUGUUGGUGAAAACCAUCAUUGGCUACCAUAAAAGUAGAUGUGGUUGAAAUGGUUUAACUAAAAAUUAUUCGGAUUGUUAAAUAGAGAAAUGAAACCUGGAGAUUCAAUGUUACUAGU